rnacentral:tRNA from 1 species
AAGAGUAUAAUUUAAUGGUAAAAUAUGAAGCUUCAAACUUUAAAUUCUCGGUUCGAAUCUGAGUACUCUUG